ACUCAACAUUAAUUCUUUAAAAAGGGUGAGUUUAAGUUGUAAAAGCAUGCUGCCUUUGUCGCAGACCCUUGAUCAGCUUGUUAGCCCUAAACUUGUUUUUAAGGAGUUU
rnacentral:sRNA from 1 species